UAUUUGAUUUUUAAUUUAGGUUCUGUUCUAUUUCUAGAACAGAUUAAAAGGGAAUUUGGUUUAAACCCAAAGCUGUUCCCGCAACUGUAAGUUUGUUUCACAAUUUUUUAUGAAACCUCUUUUUAGAGUUGUUAUUUUCAUGCACCACUGUUCAAAUACUACACCGUAGUUUUCGAACGGGAAGGUUUAAUAACAAAAAACAAGCCAGGAGACCUGCCUCAAUUUAAAAGAGAUA
rnacentral:ncRNA from 2 species